rnacentral:rRNA from 1 species
GUAGGUGGCAAGCGUUGUCCGGAUUUACUGGGCGUAAAGCGCGCGCAGGCGGCUCGCUAAGUCUGGGGUGAAAUCUCCCGGCUCAACCGGGAGGAGUCUCUGGAUACUGACGGGCUUGAGGAGAGCAGAGGAGAGUGGAAUUCCAGGUGUAGCGGUGAUAUGCGUAGAUAUCUGGAGGAACACCAGUGGCGAAGGCGGCUCUCUGGGCUCUUCCUGACGCUGAGGCGCGAAAGCGUGGGGAGCGAACCGGAUUAGAUACCCGGGUAGUCCACGCCCGUAAACGUUGGGCACUAGGUGUGGGGGGUAUUGACCCCCCCCCUUCCGUGCCGCAGCUAACGCGAUAAGUGCCCCCGCCUGGGAGUACGGCCGCAAGGCUA